UACGUAGGGGGCAAGCGUUGUCCGGAUUUAUUGGGCGUAAAGCGUCCGCAGGCGGUCUAUUAAGUUUGGGGUGACAGUGCCCGGCUCAACUGGGCAAGUGCUUCGAAAACUGGUAGACUUGAGGGCUUCAGAGGAAAGCGGAACUCCGGGUGGAGUGGUGAAAUGCGUAGAUAUCUGGAGGAACACCGGUGGCGAAGGCGGCAUCCUGGACCGAUACUGACACUGAGGAGCGAAAGCCAGGGGAGCAAACGGG
rnacentral:rRNA from 1 species